AGCCUCCCAAUGCUUACUACAGGCUAUGUUCUUUACACUAACUAUAUAGAAAGAGGAGGUACAGUAAUUGCUCCCUAUAUACACCUCAACCCACACCCUUUGCCUGGUCUGUAUUGUGAAUGGGGGGACAAAA